AUCUUCGUACAGUGCCAGUCUCUUAGCCAGUGAGGUUUUUUCCAAGGUGUGACUAUUGCUAAUUGAAAACUUCUCACAAUACGCUGCCGUGACAACGUGAAAUGUAACACACGAAAGAGA
ensembl:snRNA U4 U4 spliceosomal RNA